UACGUAGGUGGCGAGCGUUGUCCGGAUUUAUUGGGCGUAAAGCGCGCGCAGGUGGUGCGGUAAGUCUGCCGUGAAAUCUCCCGGCUCAACUGGGAGGGGGCGGUGGAGACUGCCGGACUAGAGGGACUCAGAGGCCGGUGGAAUUCCCGGUGUAGCAGUGAAAUGCGUAGAGAUCGGAAAGAACACCAAGGGCGAAGGCACUCUGCUGGGCCGACACUGACACUGAGAGACGAGAGCUAGGGGAGCAAAUGGG
rnacentral:rRNA from 1 species